ACUAUAUAUUUCCAUCACUAGCUUUUAGCCUGGGUUAAAUGCAGUCCACGUAUUGUUGGGGGUAACCAUGAAAAAACUGCAAUCUUUCAGCCUGGGAACCAUAAGAAUGAAGUCAGGAAACUGUGUCCACUGAAAAGAGUCGGGGAAUCUUGGGAAAGAAAGAACUAGAGAAGGGAUUCCAAAACAUUUUUCCACCCAAAUCAUUUACUGACCCCUAAACCAUGCUUAUAGGUUUCAAGAAUAGUAUCAUUAUCCUUUCCAGGUACUACCCCAUGUCUGUCUUCUUUAAAUGGCAUCUCCUGAAAGCAUGCUGUCUUUUUCAGCCUGUUUCUAUGAAGAGGAAAGCACCACAUGUGUAGAAUACCAUGCUGAGACCUUUAUCACAAGGCAGAACCCAGAGGACUCAGAGAGGCAAGGAAGUCAGUAAGCUUGCAGGUCAUACCCUACAGGAGGCAUAAAAAUCACUAGGCAAAGUCCAUUCAUGUGCUAGCUGUAUUUAAAAAACAACAGUGAACAGAAAGCAAAAUUAACCCAGUAUACCAUGAACCAAGGAAUCACAACAACAAAGAAAGUAACAGCUAUACUGCUGGAAGACCAGAAAGGCGUCUUCAGGAUUUAUAAAAUCCUCUGAAACAUGUUGUUUCCAGAUGUAGGUCCCAAGUGCCCCAUCAUUUACUUCCUGUCCAAGCACUGAGCAGAUGGAAUUACACAAGUUGGGCUGUAUGAAACCACCCUCCAAUGCCUUCGUUAAACUCCAGGAUUUUAAAGAGUCUGUCUAGUUCCUGGCAGGGACCUUUCCAUACUUCCACCCCCAAAGCUGUAAAUUAUUACCUCAUUAAACUCAAUUGUAAAUGA